UACGUAGGGGGCAAGCGUUGUCCGGAUUUAUUGGGCGUAAAGAGCGUGUAGGCGGCCAGGUAGGUCUGCUGUGAAAACUCGAGGCUUAACCUCGAGCUGUCGGCGGAAACCAUCUGGCUAGAGUCCGGAAGAGGAGAAUGGAAUUCCCGGUGUGGCGAUGAAAUGCGCAGAUAUCGGGAAGAACACCCGUGGCGAAGGCGGUUCUCUGGGACGGUACUGACGCUGAGACGCGAAAGCGUGGGGAGCGAACAGG
rnacentral:rRNA from 1 species